AGAAUCAUCCUGACAACUUGUCCAGGAUCCAUUCAUCGCUCACCAGCACAAACUAUAUUCAAGCCCUGGCAAGUCAAGUUUUCCUGGCACAGCUGGCUGUUUUCCUCCCCGGGUGCAGGCCUGUGACGCCCGGCGAUUACUUCCCUCUGGCAGCAUCGGAGGUAUCACUGUCCCGCAGAGAUCGCUGUGAAGAGCAGUUCCAGUCUCCUCUGUGGGUUCCUUUUGUUCUUUCUCCUGCCACAAUCUCUCCCUGAGCUAAGAAAAGCUCUGGGGAAACAUCCCCACAACUUCCUGUCAAAUAGUUGAUUGCAGGAUUGGUUCAGGGGCCUGACUUGGUUGCCAAGUGUCAUUUAUUUGUAAAAAUUAAGUCACAUUAAUUAUCUUUAAUGUAGUAAGCUUGCAAGCUUACGCUAAAGCCUCGAAUGUACUCAAAGCGGACGCAUACGCGCACAGCUGAGGACACCAGGGACUACUUCUAAACUACUGUCAGGUCGGCGGACUUGCUCCACACAUGUGCAGUGUUUUUGUUUUUGGGCGCUUUCCAUUUAGGCGCGUGGAAGGGACAUCCUAGAACAGAGCCAAACAUACCGGAAAAAUGAUUUACGAGCACAAUGUGCAAGUAACCUAUCAGAAAGAUCAGGUGUGCCAGUAUGUGCUCCUUCUUGCCUCCUCCUGAGAGCAACACGUUCCCCUGGUUUUACUGAAGUUAUUGUAAUACUAUUCAGUAGUCUUGUUUAUAUCAGGUGUGUUUGUGUGGGUGCUGCUGGUGGAUCGUGAAUCUGUCCCUGGUUCAAAAAUUACACAAGCACCAAUUACAGUAACGUUUAUUGUGAGUGUUUUAAAUGCUUUUUUUCAAUGUAUCAAAUUUUCAAAAUCUGUUUCAAUAUUUUAGAAAUCCUUUAUAAAUUAUUAAGGCCGAUGCCGAGCGACCAGAUAACAGGGUCUUCACUUCCGUACUCCUCCAAUGGUUUCACAAGGAGAAAGACAACACACGUAGAAUCAAUAUGUAUAUAAUCAAUAGUUUCUUGAACAUUUUCUGCUGCUUUUUUCCAAAAAAGGUUAGCGUAGAGCCCUGCAAUGGAUCGGGCUUAGUUGUCAUCUCCUCGGAGGAGGUUUACUUCAACUGUAAGUGUACUUCUGCGUCGAAUCGACGGCAUAGGGGGCUACGCCGUCGCCUGACAUGCAUGUCCUCAAAAAUGUAACUACACGUCAAGUCGACGCGGACCGUAAGCUCUGUGAUUGGUCGGCUGGGUAGUCUUGCAAUGCCUCAGAGCCAACAGGAAGUGUCCUGUGCUUUGAAGUAACUUUUACUAGCGGCCAAAACAGCGUGCUGAAACACGGUGGAUCGAUAUAUUUGACUGUCACAACCCCGAGCAAAAUGACUCGUUCCUCUAUCAGAAUGUGAUCCAUUCGGUCGGUAACAUUUGAAAAGGCUACAUCUGCCGCUAAAUUAACGGAGCGCUAAGAAUAAGUAUAAAUGCCUGGCUACGUGCGUAGACCCUACGCAGGAGUAGAAAUCAAGCUUAACUCUUCCCCUCCUGCGGAGCCUGAAUCGGCUUUUUUGACACGCCGUUUCAUUUCCUCGUUCAUACUGUGUCGAUCUCAAAGCUGCAGAUCAUUGGCAGAAGGAAACAAAACGAUCUAAAUCAUGGUUGUAUUAGUUCGUUACCCAAACAUGGUCUUCCACAUGACUGCUUUUGGACAGAGGCAGCGAUCUGUGGACAUUGCGAGUCACCCUCAGAAUUAAAUAUAUGGGUGAUGCUGUCCUUCAUUUGACUCUGUGGACAUUAAGGCAGCUGUCAGGUUGUCAGGCUAAAACAUUUACUGUGGGCUACAACUUCAGUAAUCACCGUUUAAAUCAAACUAAUCUGUAUUAAGCUGUAACCUAAAUGAACAGUCAUCUGUCAUGUUGGGAUUAGUCGCACUGAUUGGAUCGUAGUUAUCGUGCUGGAGCUGAUGUGAAUGUUUCUGAUGAGGAUGACAGGGGUGCAGCUGGAACAAAUAAAGUGAGUUUGUUAAUAUUAUCUGCUUAUAGUCUUAAUGUGUUUUGACCACAUUUUAUUAAAUAUGAAAUGAGCAAGAUUUUUAAAUGUAAACUAGAAGUCUAAAAGUCAGUUAGACACAUUUUCCACAGAAAGAAAAUAAUGAAUAGCCUGCUGUGUGGGACUGUGGCUUUACAAUCACAGGUCCAUGAGUAAAAUGUGUCUAACUUUGUAGUGCAUGUAUUCUACAUAUACGUCCGUAGCAUUAAAUGUCUUAUCUGUUUCUCUGGGUCAGACUCUGUAAUCGCCCUCUGGUGUAUGACUUUUAAUAAAUAUCAACUGUUUGUUGUAA